AGCAAAGUCAAAUCCGAAGGCAUGAGAAAUGAACUAAGUGUCUAAAAUUAGAUGCAGUGUCCCUGGAAAGGAUUUUCCUCCCUGGUCUAGUUCUGUAUUCAGACCCAUGUGCCCAUGGGGGUCUAAAUAUUUAUUGGGCCCUCUGUGCACAGUGGUCUUAAGAAGACACAACUACCCAUGGGCACCAUAAAUUAAGUCAGUUGCCUGUGAUGCGCUCGAGAAGUUUAAUGUUCCUUUCUUUUAACCUUUUGGAUAGUUUUCAGAAAGUCGAAAGAAGCACCUCUUAAUCUAUAGAAUUAUCUGAACCCCUGCAUUCAUUUAUAUAAUAGAGAUAGUCCCCACACUCUGACUUGGUGCCAGGCACUAUGGAACUACAGCAGUGAGUAAAAAUAUCAACAUCUCUGUAGGCAGACAGCUUCUAAUUAUUAUUUUACUGUUGUUACUUAACGUUCAGAAAAACUCAGCCCUUCUUGCAUUUUUUCUAGCUGACCAAUCAGUCUCUGAAGUACUAUCUCAUGUCUAUUUUGAUCUCUAAAUUACCCUGUGAGGUAGUUUGGCAGGAAUUAAUCCCCUCUUCAGAGACCAGGAAAAAUGUAAACUUGCCAAGGUCACACAGAGCUGGGAUUCAAAAACCAGGUCUCUUAACCCUAAGGUCUGCCCUUUCUCCAUGAUACCAUUUUCCCAAUUAGGUACUUUUAUUUUCUGACCUCUAGUUUGCUAGAUGGUCAAAGAUAAGCAGUUCUUUGUGACACUCUAGAUACAGACAAAUUUCUCAGAAAACUGAACAAAUAUUGAGGAAUCAGAACACAGGUUUUUUCAGUCCUCCCCAUGGCAUAUGGAGUUCCCAGGCCAGGGAUCACACCUGAGCCACAGUUGCAGCCUCUGCCACAGCUACAGUCACGCCGGAUCCUUUAACUCACUGUGCUAGCCUGGGAACCAAACCUGCAUCCCAGAGCUCCAGAGACACUCUGAUCCCAUUGCGCCACAGUGAGAACUCCCCUUUCGUAGGCACCUCUUAAUGGUUAACUUGCAGCCAACAUCCGUUUGCAGUCCAGCCUCCUUUCCUAACCCACCAGAGACAAUAUCUUUCCUACCCCCAAAGCUUAAAGAACAAGAAAGUACAGUGGGAGAAGGGUUUCCGACAACACCACAAAUCACUUGCCGACGUCCCCAGUGGCAUAAACCAUCAUGCUGUAUGAUACAUGGACCUGUGGCCCCUCCUCAUUUUUCAAACCGGGAUGCUGGCAUCCAGUCACUGGAGUGGAAUUGGCCCAGUAAUGUUUUCCAUCUGCUGGCUUGGCACGAGUCAUUACGGGGUGUCACCUGGGUUCUGUCUUAGAGUCUCUAGGGCCAAGGCUAGAGGCACUACAGAAGAACAAUUACCUUAUUCAUCUGUCAGCACUGUUUACUUUAUGUGAACAAAACAAGAUUUUGCUGAAGUAUAUAAAAGAAAUUUACUGGAAAAGAAAAGUCUAGGCAUCCUCUCCCCCCCCCCCCCCCACCCCUGCCCUCACAUCUUCAAAUUCUGAUACAUCUCAAAUGUCACCUUCUCUAAGGAGCUUUUCCCCACACCCUCAACCUCCAUGUGCCCCUGGAGAACUUAUUUCAUAUUGCUUUGUGUCGCCAUUAUUUAUUUGUAUUUCUCUCCCUCCCACUAGACUGUAAACUCUUCAAAGGAGAAUAUGAACUGUAUCUUUUAAAGUUCAUACCACUCAGUAAGUUUCUGUUGAGGGAAUGAUUUGCAAGUAUAGAAAAAAAUGGUAAUUCCUGUUAGUUUUAAACUAAAUCUACAGGAAUAAAAUAUGUUGAAUUUGGCAUUCUGAAAAUGAAUUAAAGCCUUUUUUUUCCCUUUUAUAAAAAGUUAGCAAUAGGAAGUUCAGUGUGAAAACACUUUUAAAACAAUUUUAAAAACAAUGUUAAAAACGACUGAACUUUUUAUUGUGGAAAACCAACAGGAUGUUCAAAACUACUCAAUAUCAUUUAAAAUUGACCUUAUUUAAUGGAAAUGUUCACAUUAUUAGUAUUUCAGAAGUGAUGUAUAUGCUAGUCAUAGGAGAAAUUAUUUCUAAAAGAAUGUAAGACUUUUAAAAAUUUUUUAUUAUAGUUGAUUUGCAGUGUUCUGUCUAUUUCUGAUAUAUAGCAGAGUAACCAGUUAUGCAUAUAUACACAUUCUUUUUCUCAUAUUAUACUCCUUCAUGUUCUAUCACAAGUGAUGGGAUAUAGUUCCCUGUGCUAUACAGCAGGACCUCUUUGCUUAUCCAUUCUAAAUGUUAUAGUUUGUAUCUACUAACCCAAAACUCCCAAUCCAUCUCACUCCCUUUCCCUCUCCCUUGGCAACCACAAGUCUGUUCUCCAUAUCUGUGAGUCUGUUUCUAUCUCUGUAGAUAGGUUCAUUUAUGCCAUGUUUAGAUUCCACAUAUAAGUGAUAUCAUAUGGUAUUUGUCUUUCUCCUUCCGAUUUACAUCACUUAAUAUGAGAAUCUCUACUUCCAUCCAUGUUGCUGCAAAUGGCAUUGUUUUGUUCUUUUUUUGGCUGAGUAGUAUUCCAUUGCGUAUAUGUACCACAUCUUUUUAAUCCAUUCAUCUGUCGAUGGACAUUUAGGUUGUUUCCAUGUCUUGACUAUCUGUGAAUAGUGUUGCAAUGAACGUAGGGGUACAUGUAUCUUUUUCAAUGAAAGUUUUGUCUGGAUAUAUGCCCAGGAGUGGGAUUGCUGGAUUAUGUGGUAGUUCUAUAUUUGAUUUUCUGAGGAACCUCCAUACUGUUUUCCAUAGUGGUUGUACCAAUUCACACUCCUGCCAACAGUGUAGAAGGGUUCCCGUUUCUCCACACCCUCCCCAGCAUUUGCUAUUUGUAGACUUAUUUAUUAAUGAUGACCAUUCUGACUGGUGUGAGGUGGUACCUUAUUGUAGUUUUGAUUUGCACUUAUCUAACAAUUAGUUAUGUUGAGCAUUUUUUCAUGUGCCUAUUGGUCAUCUGUAUGUCUUCUUUGGAGAAAUGUCUUUUUUUUUUUUUUUAAUGUAUCACAUUGAUGCUGGUUUAGACAGUUCAGGGAGAGCGAAUGAGGUGGCUACAGGAGUACAGGAGUACUUCUGGAAGGAAGAGCAUCUGAAAAAAAAACCU
rnacentral:lncRNA from 1 species